UUUACUAUCCAACUUCAAAUGACAGUUUGCCAACUUGACAUAAGUUGAUCCAGCUUUAUCCCAGGAUUUGGCAAGCUUGAAGGAAUUGGCAGCUUUAUCGAAGAGAUCCGCGGCGUCUUCAAAUUUGGAGCCGAAUAAGCCCCAACCAUUAAGCUUCUUCUCGGCUUUCUUCUCGAAUUCCUCUCCUCGAGCUAUCUGAUCUCCCAUUUUCAGAGGCUUUUCUUUUUCUAAAUAACCAGUGAAUUUUGAAUGGGAGACUAUUAAGCAAAAGAAAAGAAAAAGAUCGAGGAAGGAAAUGACUUCGUCGAGAU
rnacentral:misc_RNA from 1 species